rnacentral:lncRNA from 1 species
UGAAAGUCUACGUAAACACCUAAGAGCAGGUUAUGUCAAGAAAAUUAAGUGGAUAUUCAAAAAACAAAGGAUUCUAAGAAGGAACACACAGCUGCCUCUUGAGAAAGUUAUCACCGUGGUAGGCGACAUCGCCGUACCGCAAUACGCAGAACGGUUGUUUCAGAAAGGCCCGAUGUAUGCCAUUGAAGAAAACUUAAGUGUAAGAAACGAAAUACACUAUAUCGAGGAUGUAUUAAGUAGUAUACCAACACAGGGCGUAGAAAAAGAAAAAAUGCGAUGGCAAUUUGUUAGAGAGAAGUCCGGAAGAAAAACGGGAGCUAAUGAGAUGCGACUACAGAAAGAGGACCUGUCCUUACUUCGACUGACAAGAAGUUGGAUGAGAAAUGAGGGCCUUAUUAUUACACGUGAAGAUAAAACUAAGAGAAUGGUAUUGAUGGAGG